rnacentral:lncRNA from 1 species
AAUGAGUGGUCAACAAUGGCGUGUGUUCUGUUCAAACUGAAUGAGUGGUCAACAAUGGCGUGUGUUCUGUUCAAACUGAAUGAGUGGUCAACAAUGCAUAAGCAAAACACAAAAGAGUAACGGUAUGCUCCAGAAUGAAUGGAAGGGAUGGUUUGGAAGGUUAUAAAGAAAUGGAUCAUGUUUUGUCUAGCUUCAUGGUGAUUCUAGCUUCAUGGUGAUUCUAGCUUCAUGGUGAAUCCAGCUUCAUGGUGAUUCUAGCUUCAUGGUGAUUCUAGCUUCAUGCUGAUUCUAACUUCAUGGUGAUUCUAACUUCAUGGUGAUUCUAUCUACUGGAAUUCUAAUGCAUUUCCUGCACUUGACAUAUUGUUUGUGGACUGAGUAUCAGUUUAAAAAAUGUACCCAGAACACUUAAUCAGUGAGUACAUUAGCAUAAAUUAAAAUAAGCCAAUAUAAUGUUUUUAAGCACAGUCACUUCCAGUGAUUACCCUAUGAAGGGUAACAUAUGUAUUUGUCAAAGAGAAGAACACAGUACAGAGAACACACAUUAAUAAUAUGCUUAUAUCAUUUUCAUAUUUUGAACAUAUGGUGUGUGUACAUACACAUACAUACAUACACUACCACUAUCACUGUACAUCAGUGUUAUCAAAAUAGCCAAAUACUGCUGGUAACCAAAACCACUUGUGUAAGUGCAAAAAAGGCAUUUUAAUGUAAAUGUUCAUUCUGAUGUUGUGUAACCAGGUGGUAGUCAUGGAAUACACAACUAAACACAAUUCUGAAAUCUUUCUCAAAGUUACUCUUUUCCCUCAUAAUUUCGUGUUAUUGGUGCUAAUUAGUUUAUUUUUUUCAAUAGUAUAUUUCUGUCCAUUUCUUAUUGUCACUGAGUUUGAACAUCCGGUGUAUCAUCCUGUUUUUACAUUUUGGUUGUGAAGGUUGGUCUCUACUCACUCUUAUAUUACAGCUUUCUCCUAGCAUUUGACUUGAGUCGAAAUUAUGCAAAAAACCCAAAAUGGGAUAUUAGAUUUUUUCAUUUUGUUGUAGCUACAGUAUUUGCUUACACACAAUUACACAUUGCCUUCUUGUGCAAUUCAACAUAUCUACCCUACCAUUCCCUUGAUACCAAAAAAUAACUGCAGAAGCUUCAGCUCUAUAGAUUGGAUUCGGCUUAACCAAUUUCUUUUACCUUUAUUUAACUAGGCAAGUCAGUUAAGAACAAAUUCUUAUUUUCAAUGACGGCCUAGGAACAGUGGGUUAACUGCUUGUUCAGGGGCAGAACGACAGAUUUGUACCUUGUCAGCUCGGGGAUUUGAACUUGCAACCUUUCAGUUACUAGUCCAACACUCUAAGUAUUCAUCUCAUAGAAUUGUUCAGGUACUCUCUCUGUACUACAAAACCAAAAAUACACUAGUGUUUGUUUAUAGAUAUGAGAUGGAAAAGACUAACCCUGAUGGCACACAGACAGAUACAGAAGAUGUUGGGAUAUAUUGUUAUGUCCUCAUGUUGUGAAUAACUUGCAUCAUCAUUUUUUUUCUUUAUCGUUUUGCUUUUAUUUUGCGUGGUUACAGGAUUUACAGUACGUUACAUUUCAUUAAAAAGUAAUGUUUGACAGACACAGACAGAUAGUAGGAAAGAGUUCCUCUCACAUUACAGAUAUAAUCCACUCACAGUUCACUUUGUACUUUCAGUCUAAAGCAUUGACACACAAGCUUGCUUCUAAAAUGUUUACUGUCUGUUAAUUAAAGGUGAUGUGAAAAGUUAGUGUCCAUCCAAAUCCGUAUACCAUGGUAACAGAUAUACAUUAUACAGUGUAACUACAAUACCACACAGCUGAAUCCACCAUAGUCCUUCUUUCACAAACAGUCCAUUUUAUAUUUGAUAUCAUUUUUGGAGACGUGGACGUGUACUAUGAUGAGUGAAGCAAAAUAUUUUUUCAGUUGACGGACAACAUGUGUACCCUAUAAGUGGACUAUGUUGGAGUGGUGUACCCUGGCCUUUCCAUCCAGAUGUUUGUUUUUUGUUGUUGAUCAUUUUAGCCAUGUGGCCAGCAGAACAAUAGCUUUUGUGAUGCAGUGCCCCUAAAAAAAAAACGUUACUCUACUUUUCACAUUGCCUGUCCAAUACCACCGUAUUAUUGAAAGCUUCAUGUAAUGAUGCUUUAGUCUUUGAAUAUAAAAGGAAAAAAAUACUAUAAAAAGAAAUAAGAAACUGUCAAAUUUGUCAACAUAAAAUGUUUUCUUUGUUGCAUGUAUUUUGUUCUUUAAUAAAAUACCGUACUGCAGUGUUUUUGAAUGUUACUUAUUUUUUUAUAAAGAUUUCAGAGUGAAAUCGUGGAGCCUUUUUCUUGACAGGUUUUAACUUUUAAGAUCUCUGCAAAUGUAAAAAAAGGUAUACAAAUGGAAACCGCAAAACUAUUGUCUUUUUAAUUCCUAUUUAAAACCGUUUUUCUGUGGAGAAAAAAAUUGCUAACAAGGUGUAGGUUUUAUGGUCUCUUUCUUUGUACUAGUAAUGCAUAUUCCAAAUAAAUUGUUUCUU